rnacentral:lncRNA from 1 species
AUUGUUACGACUGGCCUUCCGAGGCCAAAAACCACAGGGAGGGGAAGGGGUGACCCUUCCAACUGUCCUUCCCCGGCUCUUGGCCUGCAAGCUGCUGUCCUCAUCAGCCAGGCUCAGAAAUAGAUGUAAGAAAGAACAAUCGGAACCCAGAUCUUCACUGUUUCAAAGCUUUGCAACGAAGAGGAAUAUGAUUAAGGGGUAUGGCCAGAAGGAGAAAUAAAAUUCAUUUCCAGGAUCAGCAAACCUUUAAUUUCAGACUCAAGGAGAAACCAGUGAGGCUCAGGUGGCCGUCUGCGGGGCGUAACGUGUAUUUAUGGUCGAAGAUGUGAACAUGGAGAAAAGUGCAAAGAAGACACAGCAAGCUGAGGGGGCCCCACUGUGCUCACAGCCCACGCCUGAAAACUUGGGAUCAGCCCAGCCUUAGUACUUCCUGAAAAUUAACUUUGGGUUUUAAACAGUUCUUCAUGGCUUCAAUAAAUGAUAGGGGACCCACGUUAAUACUUACUCAGGUGGCUUGAAGUAUGGGUUUGUUCUGUAAUCAUCCAAACCGAUCUCUUGUGGACGUGUUUGUCAAGUGCUACAGUAAAAAUAACUGGC